rnacentral:rRNA from 1 species
CAGUCGCCGCGGUAAAACGAAGGGUGCAAGCGUUACUCGGAAUUACUGGGCGUAAAGCGUGCGUAGGUGGUGGUUUAAGUCCGUUGUGAAAGCCCUGGGCUCAACCUGGGAAUUGCAGUGGAUACUGGGUCACUAGAGUGUGGUAGAGGAUAGUGGAAUUUCCGGUGUAGCAGUGAAAUGCGUAGAGAUCGGAAGGAACAUCUGUGGCGAAGGCGACUAUCUGGGCCAACACUGACACUGAGGCACGAAAGCGUGGGGAGCAAACAGGAUUAGAUACCCCAUAGUCCCUGUCUCUUAUACA